rnacentral:rRNA from 1 species
UACGAAGGGGGCUAGCGUUGCUCGGAAUCACUGGGCGUAAAGCGCACGUAGGCGGCUUUCUAAGUCAGGGGUGAAAUCCUGGAGCUCAACUCCAGAACUGCCUUUGAUACUGGCGAUCUCGAGUCCGGGAGAGGUGAGUGGAACUGCGAGUGUAGAGGUGAAAUUCGUAGAUAUUCGCAAGAACACCAGUGGCGAAGGCGGCUCACUGGCC